UACGUAGGGUGCGAGCGUUGUCCGGAAUUAUUGGGCGUAAAGAGCUCGUAGGCGGUCCGUCACGUCGGUUGUGAAAAUCCAGGGCUCAACCCUGGACCUGCAUCCGAUACGGGCGGACUAGAGUUCGGUAGGGGAGACUGGAAUUCCUGGUGUAGCGGUGAAAUGCGCAGAUAUCAGGAGGAACACCGGUGGCGAAGGCGGGUCUCUGGGCCGAUACUGACGCUGAGGAGCGAAAGCGUGGGGAGCGAACAGG
rnacentral:rRNA from 1 species